rnacentral:tRNA from 1 species
CCCUGGUUAGCUUAGUUGGCAGAGCGCUUCACUGAAAACGGGGAGGUCUCGGGUUCGAUACCAGGACCAGGCG